AAAAAAUUUAAAACUAUAAUUUGUUUCCUGAAAAUCCUAGGGUAAAAGUGUUCAAUAUUACCGUAAGAUCACAGGCACAUAUUCCACUGUUGUCAUAGCCCAAAGUAGCUUCCUCCAAUGGUUUCUGUGCAAUGGGUGACGCAGUGGGAGGUAUUGCAGAGGGACUUACUGCAUUUCCCUCUUGUGCGGCAGGAAUGGAUGUAGUAGUUUCCAGACUAGGUAUUUGGGAGGAGACUGGCACCUCUAUACUAGAUGCAAGAGUUUCAUAUGUGGAGCAAGUAAUGCUUCCAAUUCCACAUGUUGUUGGGUCUGUUGUGGAUGAGAGACUUCCUCCAGUUGGUGGUACAGUUUGACCAACAACUUGAGAAAAAAGGACAACAAAGUUUCGGAGAAUGACAGAGAUUUCAAGAUGUACUGAGCCCAUAGUUUCUGUUUGUAAACGGUAGCGGUCGGUAGAAUUGUGAACAAGAUCAGGCGUCUUCAGUUGAGCACCACCACCAAGAAAAUGUUGUCUAAAUUGUUCAGCAAGAGUUCCUGUUAAAUAAAAGAAAGUUCUGUUUUAAUAAUUCUAUUAGAUUUAGUUCAAUAAAUAAUUUAAUAAUUGUUUUUUGAUUAUUUUAAAAUAAUAUUUUUAUGGUUAAUAAAUAGU